rnacentral:rRNA from 1 species
GAAAGUAAAAUUCGUAACAAGGUUUCCGUAGGUGGACCUGCGGAAGGAUCAUAAUAAAAUUUCCAUAUAUAAUUUAUUUAAUAUAUAAAAUUUUAUACAAAAUGUAUUCAAACCCCACACAUUUUAUAACCAAAAAGAAAAAUAUAUUUUUUAAUAUAUAUACAAAAAAACAACUUUCAACAACGGAUCUUUUGGCUCUCGCAUCGAUGAGAAACGCAGCAAAUUGCGAUAGGUAAUGUGAUUUGCAGAAUAACGUGAAUCCUCGAAUCUUGGAACGCAUAUUGCACUCUCUGGUAAUCCGGAAAGUAUGUCUGUUUGAGGGUCAGUAAAUAUUAAAUUAUUACAAUCGUUUGUUGUGGAUUUGGGCUCUUAUUUGGAAUAGAUUUAUGGCCUUAAAUUUACGUAAUGUGCUUAAUUCGACCCAAACGGAGCAAUUAAACUUUCUCUCGUUAGACGGAUUAUUCCCAAGCAUUACGAUUUUUCGGACGACGGAAAGCACUUUCACGAGCGCCAAGCCCAAGGUCGUAAAUUUAAUUGACAAUUGACCUCAAAUUAGGCAAAAAUACCCGCUGAACUUAAGAAUAUCAAUAAGCGGAGGAU